AGCUCAUUAAAAGCAAGAGUUUCAGCUGCAGUUCUUCAGAAGAAUGAAGGUUAUACCUGGGUUAACAAGGUUAACAAGAAAGCAUUGCUGUCACCAGGCACAAUUUCUGUUAGAGUUGGACAGAGGAUUGACAGAAAGAGACUCUGGCAAAAGAAGAAUAGCUCCUCAGUUCAUUUUAAACGUGACAGAUUUAAAAGAAAGCAUAAGAAAACUUUUCAACAAAUUAAAGCAGCAGUUAUAGAAGGAGAAACAUAUCAACCACAAAUUGAAGAAAAUGUGUCGGUAAGAGACAUUGAAAAGAUUCCAACUAAAUAUUCUUUGGAAGGCAUAGACGAAUAUGUCGUGUUUGAUUUAGAAACAACUGGGUUAUCAAGAACCUCUGAUAUAACACAAAUAUCAGCAUAUGAUGGGACCAACAUGCUAAAUCUUUAUGUGUCUCCACGACAACCUAUUUCAUCAAAGGCCAGUGAUGUGAC